rnacentral:lncRNA from 1 species
UUUUGGCAACUGGUGUGGGUCGAAUGGGAGACCCUGCUGCGCUUGACGGACGCGGCCAAGCAGAAGAUCGCCACUUACCGGGCCGCCCACGUGAUGGAACUGCAUGAACUCAUGAACGCAUAGCGCAGUGGGGUCGUACGCGGACCCUGGGACGUGCGUGCCCGAAUCCCUUGCUCAAAUAAAGUUCUACCUUCUCCUCC